rnacentral:lncRNA from 1 species
CGACGUCGUUUGACGUCUUCCUCAUCUCGAUCGCUCGACUUUGUCUUCAGCAGCCACGCUCGACUUCGUCUUCAGCAUCUUCAGCAACAGACCUGUUCGCACGCUCGACGUUGUCUUCAGCAGCCACGCUCAACUUCGUCUUCAGCAGCAGACAGAUCGAUCCGUCACAGGUCGGUCCGCAGAUCGCCGGUGCUCUUCCCCCAGACCUUCAGUCCAGACCGGCCUCGUCUUGUGUCCCAGACCGCCGUCGUCUGCCUCCGACAUCAGAUCGAUCUUCGACCGCCGUCGUCUACCUCAGAUCGUCGAAUCCCUUCAGUCGACGUCCACAAAUCGGCGUUGCUAGUCGUCCGGUCGUCCUUCUCCCUCGGUCGUCCCCCUCCACUCAAGGUCAGAAACUCGGUGACCCGGUCAACUCAGUGACCCGGUCAACUCGGUAACUCG